UGUAAAAAAAUUCAUCAAUUUCUACUGUUAAAAACUAGCGUGAUUAACAGAAUAACCAAACAGUUACAUGUGGCGCGUCAAGUGUAUUUCAUGCAAACAUAUAUGGACCAGUUAAUAACGGUAAAAAUGGAUGGAAAUUUUAAUA
rnacentral:pre_miRNA from 1 species